rnacentral:rRNA from 1 species
GAUGAACGCUGGCGGCGUGCCUAAUACAUGCAAGUCGAGCGAACGGACGAGAAGCUUGCUUCUCUGAUGUUAGCGGCGGACGGGUGAGUAACACGUGGAUAACCUACCUAUAAGACUGGGAUAACUUCGGGAAACCGGAGCUAAUACCGGAUGAUAUUUUGAACCGCAUGGUUCAAAAGUGAAAGACGGUCUUGCUGUCACUUAUAGAUGGAUCCGCGCUGCAUUAGCUAGUUGGUAAGGUAACGGCUUACCAAGGCAACGAUGCAUAGCCGACCUGAGAGGGUGAUCGGCCACACUGGAACUGAGACACGGUCCAGACUCCUACGGGAGGCAGCAGUAGGGAAUCUUCCGCAAUGGGCGAAAGCCUGACGGAGCAACGCCGCGUGAGUGAUGAAGGUCUUCGGAUCGUAAAACUCUGUUAUUAGGGAAGAACAUAUGUGUAUGUAACUGUGCACAUCUUGACGGUACCUAAUCAGAAAGCCACGGCUAACUACGUG